rnacentral:rRNA from 1 species
UUGGAGGGCAAGUCUGGUGCCAGCAGCCGCGGUAAUUCCAGCUCCAAUAGCGUAUAUUAAAGUUGUUGCAGUUAAAAAGCUCGUAGUUGAAUUUCGAGAUCAAUUUGUCGGUCGUGCCUCGGUACGUACUGGCAUUAUUGAUUUCUCCCUUCUGAAGAACCGCGAUGUCAUUAAUUUGGUGUCGUGGGGAAUCAGGACUGUUACUUUGAAAAAAUUAGAGUGUUUAAAGCAGGCGCACGCUUGAAUACAUUAGCAUGGAAUAAUGAAAUAGGACGUUUGAUUCUAUUUUGUUGGUUUCUAGGAUCGACGUAAUGAUUAAUAGGGAUAGUUGGGGGCAUUAGUAUUCAAUUGUCAGAGGUGAAAUUCUUGGAUUUAUUGAAGACUAACUACUGCGAAAGCAUUUGCCAAGGAUGUUUUCAUUAGUCAAGAACGAAAGUUAGGGGAUCGAAGACGAUCAGAUACCGUCGUAGUCUUAACCAUAAACUAUGCCGACUAGGGAUCGGAUGAUGUUAAUUUUUUAAUGACCCAUUCGGCGCCUUACGGGAAACCAAAGUGUUUGGGUUC